GACCGGUGCAGAUUAUCCUAAAUGCAUAAAUUAAAGGAUUUGAUAUCUUCAGGUUUUUUAGGUUUCUAAAAAUGGUUUAUUGCAGAUUUUUUAUGCUUUUGAUGUCUCAUUCUUUUGUGCAAUAUUCACAAAAGUAUUAAACUACUGUUCAGUAUGUGUGUACAGAGGCAAUUAUGUAUUUUAACAAGUGAAUAAACACAAAAGAAGAAAAACAGAAUUGCACUUUAAAUGAGCUUUAUUGCUUGGACUUGUGCCUAAAUAAUCUAGAUGCCUCCUGUUGUGUGUGUGGCUUUUGUUUGAAACUAACUUCCCUGCUAGUAUUGCUGUUUCCAAGAUACCUUUACAUCACUUUCACAAAAUUAAUAUACACUCUAGCAUGUUUAAAAAUCAUAUAGUGUACUGAGUUUUUGUUGUGCGAUGACUUUAAUUGAAGAAUUCCACAUUUAAAUUA